UUCCAGACUCCUACGGGAGGCAGCAGUGAGGAAUAUUGGUCAAUGGCCGAGAGGCUGAACCAGCCAAGUCGCGUGAGGGAAGACGGCCCUACGGGUUGUAAACCUCUUUUGUCGGGGAGCAAAGAGAGUCACGUGUGACUCAUUGAGAGUACCCGAAGAAAAAGCAUCGGCUAACUCCGUGCCAGCAGCCGCGGUAAUACGGAGGAUGCGAGCGUUAUCCGGAUUUAUUGGGUUUAAAGGGUGCGUAGGCGGUCCGUUAAGUCAGCGGUAAAAUUGCGGGGCUCAACCCCGUCGAGCCGUUGAAACUGGCAGACUUGAGUUGGCGAGAAGUACGCGGAAUGCGCGGUGUAGCGGUGAAAUGCAUAGAUAUCGCGCAGAACUCCGAUUGCGAAGGCAGCGUACCGGCGCCAGACUGACGCUGAGGCACGAAAGCGUGGGUAUCGAACAGGAUUAGAUACCCGGGUA
rnacentral:rRNA from 1 species